rnacentral:rRNA from 1 species
CUUGUCCUUCCCCGCCUAUAUACCGCCGUCGUCAGCCCACCCUGUGAAGGCCCAGUAGUGAGCAAAGUUGGCAUAGCCCAAAACGUCAGGCCGAGGUGUAGCGUAUGAGAAGGGAAGAAAUGGGCUACAAUUGCUAAAACAGCUAAAACGAAUUGCUACGCUGAAAACGCACACAUGAAGGAGGAUUUAGAAGUAAGGAGGCAAACAGAGUGUCCCCCUGAAAUGGUUCUGAAGCGUGCACACACCGCCCGUCACUCUCCCCAAGCAAGAACAUUUAACAAUAACUAAAAAAUAAUAUCCUACAAAGGGGAGGCAAGUCGUAACAUGGUAAGUGUACCGGAAGGUGUACUUGGAAGAAUU